rnacentral:rRNA from 1 species
AAUCUUGCGCAAUGGGCGAAAGCCUGACGCAGCAACGCCGCGUGGGGGACGAAGGCUUUCUGAGUUGUAAACCCCUUUCAGCAGGGACGAUUGUGACGGUACCUGCAGAAGAAGCACCGGCCAACUACGUGCCAGCAGCCGCGGUGAUACGUAGGGUGCAAGCGUUGUCCGGAUUUAUUGGGCGUAAAGAGCUCGUAGGCGGUUUGAUAAGUCGGAUGUGAAAUCCCCAGGCUCAACCUGGGGCUGCCAUUCGAUACUGUCAUGACUUGAGUCCGGUAGGGGACCAUGGAAUUCCUGGUGUAGCGGUGAAAUGCGCAGAUAUCAGGAGGAACACCAGCAGCGAAGGCGGUGGUCUGGGCCGGUACUGACGCUGAGGAGCGAAAGCGUGGGGAGCGA